rnacentral:tRNA from 1 species
GGUCCCAUAGUUUAACGGAUAUAACAGGUCUUUCCUAAAGAUCAGAUACAGGUUCGAUUCCUGUUGGGACCG